rnacentral:rRNA from 1 species
AUUGAACGCUGGCGGCAGGCCUAACACAUGCAAGUCGAACGAGUGGCGGACGGGUGAGUAAUGUCUGGGAAACUGCCUGAUGGAGGGGGAUAACUACUGGAAACGGUAGCUAAUACCGCAUACCAUCAGAUGUGCCCAGAUGGGAUUAGCUAGUAGGUGGGGUAACGGCUCACCUAGGCGACGAUCCGUAGCUGGUCUGAGAGGAUGACAAGCCACACUGGAACUGAGACACGGUCCAGACUCCUACGGGAGGCAGCAGUGGGGAAUAUUGCACAAUGGGCGAAAGCCUGAUUCAGCCAUGCCGCGUGUGUGAAGAAGGCCUUCGGGUUGUAAAGCACUUUCAGCGGGGAGGCGUUACCCGCAGAAGAAGCACCGGCUAACUCCGUGCCAGCAGCCGCGGUAAUUC